UACGGAAGGUGCAAGCGUUGUUCGGAAUGACUGGGCGUAAAGCGCACGUAGGCGGACUCGUCAGUCAAAGGUGAAAGCCCUGGGCUCAACCCAGGAGGUGCCUUUGAUACUGCGAGCCUUGAAUGCUCGAGAGGUCAGUGGAAUUCCUGGUGUAGGAGUGAAAUCCGUAGAUAUCAGGAGGAACAUCAGCGGCGAAGGCGGCUGACUGGCGAUGCAUUGACGCUGAGGUGCGAAAGCGUGGGGAGCAAACAGG
rnacentral:rRNA from 1 species